GUGCUGGCCUCGGCAGCACGUCUACCAAAACUGGAAUGAUACAGAGGAGAUGAGCAUGGCCCCUGCGCAAGGAUGACGUGCAAAACAUGUAUUGAGAGCUCUUCCAUAUUA